AUCUGAACCUUAGACAUUUUUACUGAAUCACAGCAACGUUUCCUCCAGACACGCUCGCUAACUUCAUUUAGCAUCCUCGGCUAACAGAUGAGUCUGAAGUGAAACGUCCACAAAGUCACUUCAACACGUUGAUCCGUUCAUACCGGCUCUGCUGGGUCACUCCGGUUGUAUCUGAUGAACUACGUGGCAGAACCAGCGGGACUAACGGGGGAAAACCCGGUUAACAACAAGAACCGCUUCAACCAGACUCCACUUUGCUCAACUCAGCCACGUUUGUCUUUCUUCACCCUUCACAGGUACAGCAGUGAAUGGGAA